AAGGGGGGCGUUUACCACGGUAUGAUUCAUGACUGGGGUGAAGUCGUAACAAGGUAACCGUAGGGGAACCUGCGGUUGGAUCACCUCCUUACCAAAGA
rnacentral:rRNA from 1 species